rnacentral:rRNA from 1 species
GAUGAACGCUGGCGGCGUGCCUAAUACAUGCAAGUCGAGCGAACGGACGAGAAGCUUGCUUCUCUGAUGCUAGCGGCGGACGGGUGAGUAACACGUGGAUAACCUACCUAUAAGACUGGGAUAACUUCGGGAAACCGGAGCUAAUACCGGAUAAUAUUUUGAACCGCAUGGUUCUAAAGUGAAAGACGGUCUUGCUGUCACUUAUAGAUGGAUCCGCGCUGCAUUAGCUAGUUGGUAAGGUAACGGCUUACCAAGGCAACCAUGCAUAGCCGACCUGAGAGGGUGAUCGGCCACACUGGAACUGAGACACGGUCCAGACUCCUACGGGAGGCAGCAGUAGGGAAUCUUCCGCAAUGGGCGAAAGCCUGACGGAACAACGCCGCGUGAGUGAUGAAGGUAUUCGGAUCGUAAAACUCUGUUAUUAGGGAAGAACAUAUGUGUAAGUAACUGUGCACAUCUUGACGGUACCUAAUCAGAAAGCCACGGCUAACUACGUG